rnacentral:rRNA from 1 species
AACGUAGGUGGCGAGCGUUAUCCGGAAUCACUGGGCGUAAAGGGCAUCUAGGCGGUCUAUCAAGUUGCGUGUGAAAGCCUCCGGCUCAACCGGGGGAGGACAUGCAAAACUGAUAGGCUGGAGGGUCGGAGAGGGACGCGGAAUUCCCGGUGUAGUGGUGAAAUGCGUAGAGAUCGGGAGGAACACCCGUGGCGAAGGCGGCGUCCUGGCCGACACCUGACGCUGAAGUGCGAAAGCGUGGGGAGCAAACGGG